rnacentral:rRNA from 1 species
CAGCACAAAGUGGGAGGUAAACUCCUUCUAAAGCUAAAUAUCACCACGAGACCGAUAGCGAACAAGUACCGUGAGGGAAAGUUGAAAAGCACUCUGAAUAGAGAGUCAAAAAGUACGUGAAACUGCCUAGGGCUCAAGCCCGUUGAACUCGAUUAUCCGAGCGGAGACAUUCACCUGCGGUUGGCCGGCGACGGCACGGCCGCAGGGCACUUGUCUCUCGCACUAGCCAAGAGGACACUGCGAUCCAUUACGAAACAGCUUUCGCGCCGCAAGGCGCAAGGUCGCCCGACAACUGCCCCCUGGUGCUGGUUGCUUGCCCCACAGUAGCGACGCUCAGUUCUGAAGGCCUGUGCCGCGAGGUGGGGCUUACUGCACGUGGUGUUCUAGCAGUCGGGCGCGUGAUGGAUUCCCCCGGACACCGGGUGGUCUUCCCGUAAGGGGCCACCGGACUGUCGAUCGGCAGUGAAAGAAUCGAGGUACCUUCGGGACCC